rnacentral:lncRNA from 1 species
CCAGGGCGCUGCGCCUCCCCCUUUCGUCCCCGCCCGCGACCCUGGGCGAGUCACGUCUGUGCCUCGGUUGCCCUACGGGUAAAGCGGGUUAGUAAGCGUACCUACUUCAUCUGCCCUCGUGAGGUUGCGGCGAGGAUGGAGUUAACUUGCCUAAAGGGCUUGAUGAAUCCCUGGCGAGUGGGCCGUGUUCGCUAAAGGUUGCCUUUUCCUAGCUUGUGGUACCGAGGGUACAGCGGUCCGCUGUCCGCCCCGGGUAGAGUGUAGGGGGGGGGAUCAAAGGACCCAGACCAUGGUCUCUAGACCUGCCGCCUACCAUGUGGUCUUGACCUCGCUGAGGCAGCUUUCCUCACCUGCUCCACACGCUUGCAGGAGGGGCGUGGAGCCAGAGGCACUGAACGCUCUGGAAGGAACAGGCAGGGGCACCGGUGAGAUGCUGGCAGGUGCUGCAAGAAGCCAGUGUGUUUUCACUGCAGACGGACACCAGCACACAUCCACGCCUCCUGCACCGCACUGUGUGGCCCAUCCCCGAUGAUGGACCAGCUCAAGACUAUGGCUCAAGCCAUUUGUCCUGGGCGUGUUCCAGAAGGAGCAGAGCCCCCGAUGUCAAGCAGGACAGUGGAGCACUUGCAGACAUUCAGGAAAGACCAGGAACAACCAGGAAUGACCAGACCUUCCAUCCUCUGUGGACACCCUCCCGGGUGGUGAUUCAGGGAAUAAAGGAACUGCAAACAGUGGUAGAGAUUCGAAU